rnacentral:misc_RNA from 1 species
CAACCCUUAAGCCUAGCUUAGUAUUGGGAGUCUACUGUAUUGUAGUUCCUCAAAUCCAACGGCGGAUCUGUGGUAUCCUCUGAGCGUAGUAAAUUUUUAUCUCGCUUUUGUCAGGUGCUGCAGCUCCCAGCCGCUAAACCCCCAAUUUUUAAU